CCCCGCACUCCCACCCCUGGGGAGCAAAGACAAGCACAGAACUGGCUGGGAGGAUGGAGGAGACGCCGCCGUUACAGCAGUCAGGGGGCAAGAGGACGCAUCCAGGGAGGCCAGGCUGGAAAGGCACCGGCAAAGGAGCAGCCCAACCCCAGGCAGAGGUGGAGAUGCUGUUGUUAGAAGCCAGAGAAAGAGCCCAGUGCGAAGGCCCACAGGACACGGAUGGGGCAAAGGCUUCUACUAGGCCCACCGAAGCUGGCUGAGCAGCUCCCAGGCGAGCGGAGUCCGUGCACCGGUGUCCAGCCUGCGUAGGGCGGGAACUGCGGCCAGCGCAGUUGGCUUGUCCUGAGCCGCCUGCCCUUCUUCUCGGGCAUUUUCAGCUGCAAGGUGCUGAGCUCUCUGGGCAAGUAACAAGGCAUCUGUUCUCUAGCUGGUGAAUAGGAGAUAAAGUACAGAACUGGGAGUGUUGGUUUCGCCGUGGAAUUGGUGCCCUGGAAGCUGAUAUUAGAAGUCUUGAAUUGACUCAAUAUUGAAUUAAUAUUUGGCCUUAUGCCCUUCCUUCCUUCCCCCUGGAGUGAAAACACAGGUUGCACUUGCCAGGUUUCAAAUGGUGCAAAAAAAUAUAUAUAUAUAAAAAUACAUAGAUAAGCCUAGGUCACCUUCACCCAAUGGGGCCCUGCUGAAAGCUGCUUGGAAGCAGAGGGGAAGAGGGCGCGUCGUCAGCCCGAGUCACUUGGCUCAGGGACUGGGCUCCUGGAGAACAGGAGCAAGGGACCCACUCGGGCUUGUUCACCUCACUCGUCGUGAACACAGUGUGAGCCCGGGGACCGUGCUUCCCUCCGAGAGCUGGCCUCCCCUGGGGCUGCUUGCUGUCUCCCCAGUCCACUCUCUUCUCCUGAAGCUUAGCGGUCCAGCUGCACGCACGGUAGGCAAACAAGAGACCGCUUUCCCAGCCUUCCAUAUAACUCAGUUUCUGCCAGUGUAUUUUUUUUUGUACUUGCACUGAGCUACAUCCUCAACCCUUUUUUAUUUUUUAUUUUAUUUUUCCCUUAAUAUUUUGAAAUAUUAUUUAUUAAUAUUGCUUUUAUAAAACAUUAUUUUUAUUUGUUUUUUGGGGGGGUUUUAGGUACCAGGGAUUGAACUCGGGUCCUCGCACUUGCUAGGCGGGUGGUGGAACCACUGAGCUAAAUCCCCAGCCCCAAAAUAUUAUUUUUAGUAUUGUCAAACAUUUUUAAUUGGUACAUGUUCAUAGUACAUAAUGUUCACAUUCAUUGUGGAGAAUUGGUACACGUACACAACACACCUCCAUUCUUUUUUUUCUCUUCCCCUUCAUCCCCAUUUAAAAAACUUUUUUUUCUUUUUUUCUGCCAGCAUGAGAUUUAUUUUAUAAGUCUUUAUCAAGUUAAUUAUCAUAAAUGUAUUAACAGCCAGACUAGCAGGCCAAAAAACAUAUAAAACACACACAACAAUUAUACUGAAUCAAGGUGCACUGUUCUUCUUCUUUUUUGGUACCAAGGAUCGAACUCAGGACCUUGCAUAUGCCAGGCAGGCACAACGCCGCUGAGCUACAUCCCGGCCUGAGGUACACUUUUAGAUACGUUGGCCGUGCUGAAUUACAGUAACUUUUCUCUCUCUCUUUUUUCCUAUUGUGCAUCUUUUAUGUUGCACUUUAUUGUUUGUUUUUUUGUUUUUGGUACCGGGGAUCAAACUCGGGACCUUGAGCUUGUGUGGAAGGUGCCAGAACCACUGAGCUAAAUCCCCAGCCCUAUUUUGCACUUUAUUUCUACAUCGAGUUUCUCACAGAAGAGAAACCAUUUGAUAUUUAAACUGUGUGUCUGAUUUGCUUCACUUAACAUUAUGGUCUCAAGGUGCGUCCGUUUUGCUACAAAUGACUUGAGUUUAUUCUUAUUGGGCUUAGAUUUUCUUUAAAAUUCUUGUAGAAUUUGGCAGUGAAAUUUUUAGGACCUGGGCUUUUUUUAGUUGAUAGUUUUAAAAAUUAUUUCAAUCUCAUUGACUGAUACAGUAUUAGUCAGGAUUUUUAUAUCUUCCUGGCUCAGGUUUUGUAGUUCAUAUGUACCUAGGAAUGUCCCCAUUUCUUCUGAAUUUUCACUUUUAUUAGGGUAUCGAUUGUCGGAGUAGUUACCAAUGACCUUCUGGGUUUCAGAAGAAUAUGUUGUGAUUUCACUUUUUUCAUUUCUAAUUGCAUGGAUUUGGGUCUUAUUUUGUGAAGAUUGGCUAAGCAUCUGUCUAUUUUGUUUAUUCUUUCAAAGAAUCCAAUUCUGACUCAUUGAUUGUUUUUUUUGGUAUUGUUUUUGUCCUAAUUUUAUUAGUUUCUGCUCUGAUCCUUGUAAUUUCCUUCCUUGUACUGGCUUUGGAUUUGGAUUGUUCUUGUUUUUCUAGGACCUUGAGGUGCAGCACUGGCUAUUUAUUUGAGCUCACUGUCUUCUGACGUGGGGAUUCACUGCUAUAAACUUCCCUCUUAGGACAGCUUUCGUUGUGUCUCAUAGGUUCUGGAAUGUUGUACUGGCAUUAUUGUUUGUUUAUAGGAACUAAUUUCUUCAUUAAUUUCAUCCAAAACCAUUGAUUAUUCAAGAAGGGAUUGUUUAAUAUCCAUGUAUUUGCAUAGUUUAUGUGAUUUCUUUUGCCACUGAUUUCUAGUUCCAUUGCACUGUGAUCUGAUAAUAUGCAUGGGAUAAUUACUUAAGCAUGCUGUAUGGGCUAGUUUAUGACCUAUUUUGGAGAAAGUCCCAUGUGGUGUUGAGAAGAAUGUGCAUUCUGGUGUUCUUGGAUGGAACCCUCUGUAGAUAUCUAUUAAGUCCAUUUGUUUGAAGAUUUGGUUGAACUCUGAUAUUUCCUUGUUGAUUUUUUGUCUAGUUUAUCUCUUUUUUUGUGAUAGUAGGGUACUGGGGUCCCCCAUAACAAUAUAACAAUUGUAUUUGUGUUUAUCUGAUUUUUCAUGUCCAUUGGUGUUUGUUUUAUAAAGUUGGGGGUGCUGGUAUUUGAGAUAUAUAUAUAUAUAUAUAUAUUUUUGGUACCGGGGAUCGAACUCAGGACCUUGCACUUGUGGGGCAGACAUGGAGCCACUGAGCUACAUCCCUGCCCCGCAUAUAUGUUUAUAAUUGUUAUCUCUUCCUGUUGAAUUGCCCCCUUAACCAAUAUAUAGUGACUUUGUCUUUUCUGAUCAGUUUUGGCUUGAAACCCAUUUUGUCUGAAGUUAGGAGAGCCAACUCCUGCUUUUCUCCAGGUUCCCAUUAUAUGUAGCAUUGUUUACCAUUCUUUGAUUUUUAAUCUUGAAUUUCUUUUUGAAUUAAAAUGUGUUUCUUGGAUACUGCAUAUCACUGGGUUUUAUUUCUUUUUCUUUUUUUUCUUUUUUUUUUUUUUUGGUACCGGGGAUUGAACUCGGGUCCCUGUGCUUGUGAGGAAGGCGGUGGAACCACUGAGCUAAAUCCCCGGCCCUAGGUUUUAUUUCCUGAUCAAUUCUCCUGAUCUGUGUCUUUUUAUUGGGGAAUUGAGAGCAUUCACAUUGAGAGUUGUUACUGAAAGUUAUUGAUUAUUCCUGUCAUUCCAUUAUUUACCUGUUGCUGAUUUCCUUAUUUUAUUUUUCUUUUGCUUAGGUGCUCAUUAGGUGUAUUCAUUCUUUCUGAUUUAUUAGCAUCGUUGGAUUCAUUGUCUCUUUUGUUGUCUUUUUUUUUUUUGGUACUGGGAUUGAACUUGGGACCUUAUGCUUUUGAGGCAGGCAGCAGAACCACUGAGCUAAAUCCCCGGCCCUCAUUAUCUCUUUUUAGGAUAUCCUUGAGAAUUUUUUGUAAUGUUGGCUUGGUGAUCAUGGAUUUCUUGAGAUGUCAUGGAAAUACCUUAUUUCUCUGUCAAUUUUGAAGGAAUGUUUUGCAGUAUACAUAAGAUGAGGCUGGAAGUUGUUAUUGUUUAGGGUUUAACGAAGCUUUAAAGAUAUAGGAGGUUGGGAAAAGGGGAAUGCAAGAGGAAAAAUUUGAAAUUUAAACUAUAUGAUAUGAGAAGGAAGAAAGAGUAGUGAUAUAAAGGAUCCUAUUGGGGAGAAAAGGGUUCUUUAUAGAAUUAGGUAAAGAUAAGAGAAAAACUAAUGAGAGAUAGAAGAUAAAAGAAACAGAUGGAAGCCAAGUAUGUUAGUACAUGCCCAUUAUCCCAGGACUUGGGAGGCUGGGGAGGGAGGAUUGCUCUGAGUUCAAGGCAAGCCUGGGCUACAUAGUGAGUUCAAGGCCUUUCUGAACUACAUACCGAGAUUCUGUCUCAAAAACAAAACAAGGGCCGGGGAUUUAGCUCAGUGGUUUUGCCACCUGCUGCGCAAGCGCAAGGACUUGAGUUCGAUCCCUGGUACAAACCCCCCCCCCAAAGCAAAAUCAAAACCAAAAAAGAAAACACCCCCAAAAAAGAAAGAAAUUAUAUCAGAAAGAGAGAAGAAAACUUAAAGGAUGAAAGAUUAAAAGGGAGAAGAGGAAAAAAAUAAAGAAAAAAUAAAAAAGACUUAAGAAACAAGGAAAAAGGAUAAAGGAAAAUCCCUCAAAUCUCAAUAAGCUGGAAGAAAGGAGGAAAAGAAAGAAGAAACAACAACAACAACAACAAAAGAUUCUCUCCAGGAUAGAAUUUCAGGGAAGAAAAGGAUUGUGAAUCUUCUUUUUGAUCAAGAAAUUCUGAGAAACUGGUCUCAAUUCCCUGGAAGCUUAUAGGAAAUAAAACCCACUUGGCAAAACCCAAAAGAGAACGAAAAUGUCACUUUAAUGAAAUGUUUUGCAACAUCCUGGGUGGUUUGUGUGCUUUAGAGUUCAUGCAAGAGCGA
rnacentral:lncRNA from 1 species